GUUGGUCUAGUGUAUAGUAGGUGUGGUAGGCUAGGCCUCUUAGCAGAUCACUGGCUUUGUCGAAGCCUGCAAAAGGAUUGCUGAUUCGAUUAAAAGUUCUAUCAACUCGAGGAUAUCUAGAACUUGAAGAUUGUUUUGUACACCUUUCUUCAGAUUAUCACUGUUGCUUAAUAUCUGUAUUUUAUGAUUUUUUUGGGGUCUUGUUAAUGGGGUUGGGUAUUAUAUGUUAGCUUGUAGUCAUGGUUUAAGAACAUAUUUAGUUGCCACAGACUAUAUUAUACAUAACAAUGGCGAGACGGAUCCUUGAGGAGGUUUUAUGUUUUGAGGAACUAAAAUUAUACAAGUAUACAAGUAAUCUCUGUACUAGAUUGUUUACUAAGGCUGCAUGUACUACUGUUUGAUUGUAAAUGUUGAUAGUAAUUUCACUUUUCUUGCUAUGACAGAGACAAGAAAUUAAGAUGUUCAAUCUUAAAAUGACAACCUGCAAACAUUUUUUUUUUUAAAAAGAAAAAUUUUCUGAGAGGAAUAUCUGUAAGUACUUAAAAAUAUAUUGUGAGAGUGGCACAAUGUGCAUUCUGUAGACAUAGCCCAGUGGGACUUAGUGGAGAUGUACAGUUCGUAUAUCAAACUUCUUUUUGGCUUUUAUUAUUUUCCUUAAAGAACCCCUCCCGUUUAUGUUUAUUUUAAAAUCCUUAAACUGCAUAUGACACGAGGUGUUUGUACUUCCAUGCAAGCUGUGAGCCCAGGCAGUGAGGACUAAUCAUUUUGUAAGUUGGUUGUUUGUCCCGCGUCUGUGCCCGAAAAUAGCCACAGAAGUCUUGAGGGUUAUAAGCUGCCAUCUACUCAAGUACCAUUUUCAGAUAGAUUACAGGGUAAUUAACAGGAAGUGCGGACUGUCUCCCUCUCUGAAGCUAUCUCAAAACUUUCAUGCUAGAAUUUCCUUAUCUAUUCCCUUAGCCCUAGUAAUUUAUUUUUUACACUUCGGUUCUUCUCAAGUAUUAAUAGCAGUAUUGUAAUUAAUAAUGAAGUUUCCAGAAGCUUUGUAUAAGAAGUGACUAGUGAGUGAGGAAAUGGAUUGCUCUACUUCUGAAGGCAGGUAGAUUCACCAAAUGUAAGAGAGUGAUAGCCAGGAGUGGUUUAUUUAUAAAUUAACAAGUCUUUUAUGUAGGUCUUACUAGUGAGGAAAUUGGUGGUGAUCUAGAUUCACCAAAUAUAAGAGAGUAAUGGCCAGGAGUUUUUUAUUUAGAAAUUAACAAGUCUUUUAUUUAGGUCUUACUAGUGAGGAAAUUGGUGGUGAUCUGUGGUAAUCGAAAAGUCCAGUAACUAUAUUCUUAUAGAAGACCUUACUUUUCACCCGAGUUAUAAUAUUCAUACAAGUUCCUGUAGAGAGUGUAAGGUCUUUCUAAAGCAGCAGAAGCUGUGUAGAGGUUAUGGCUGUGACUUGGACUCCUAGAGAGUUCUCUUUCCUUUCGUAAUUUAUAUAAUAAUGUUACAUAAUGAGCUGAGGGGCAAUAUGACCUUAUAAAGGUUAUCACACCCUCGUGUUUUGUAGCGAUAUUUCUCAAUUCCCAUGAAGCAUUUAUUUUUCUAUGCACAAUUUGUAGCCUCUCUGUUACAAUAGUAUUAACGAAUUAGCAUAAGUGCCAAGCUGGAUAGGCCUGGUCCUGGGUUCGGCAUACACAGCCAAUGUAAGUUGUAAGGCGUUAGUGUAAGUACAUUAUAUAAGGAAAGAGAACUUUUAAAGAAAUCAAACUACAUAUUUUGUACUUGUCUGUGAAAAAGUCUACAACUAUCUUAUAUUUCAUGUACUGAUACGAAAANAAACUACAUAUUUUGUACUUGUCUGUGAAAAAGUCUACAACUAUCUUAUAUUUCAUGUACUGAUACGAAACCCAGCCACAACGUAAUAUUUCUCAUUUCCGAGUAUUUUACUAUUUUAAGGAAAUAAUCACAAUUUGUAACACUGGCAAAAAAGUAUCAUGUAAAGCAGUAUUUAUUCCUAAAUUUCACCUUCAGGCAACCUUGCGCAAGGAGAUUCCCGUGAAGCAUUUAUUUUUUCUAUGCACAAUUUGUAGCCUCUCUGUUACAAUAGUAUUAACGAAUUAGCAUAAGUGCCAAGCUGGAUAGGCUUGGUCCUGGGUUCGGCAUACACAGCCAAUGUAAGUUGUAAGGCGUUAGUGUAAGUACAUUAUAUAAGGAAAGAGAACUUCUGAAGAAAUCAAACUACAUACUUUGUACUUGUCUGUGAAAAAGUCUACAACUAUCUUAUAUUUCAUGUACUGAUACGAAAACCAGCCACAACGUAAUAUUUCUCAUUUCUGAG
rnacentral:lncRNA from 1 species